rnacentral:rRNA from 1 species
AUUGAACGCUGGCGGCAGGCUUAACACAUGCAAGUCGAGCGGGGUGAUGGUGCUUGCACUAUCACUUAGCGGCGGACGGGUGAGUAAUGCUUAGGAAUCUGCCUAUUAGUGGGGGACAACAUCUCGAAAGGGAUGCUAAUACCGCAUACGUCCUACGGGAGAAAGCAGGGGAUCACUUGUGACCUUGCGCUAAUAGAUGAGCCUAAGUCGGAUUAGCUAGUUGGUGGGGUAAAGGCCUACCAAGGCGACGAUCUGUAGCGGGUCUGAGAGGAUGAUCCGCCACCCUGGGACUGAGACACGGCCCAGACUCCUACGGGGGGCAGCAGUGGGGAAUAUUGGACAAUGGGGGGAACCCUGAUCCAGCCAUGCCGCGUGUGUGAAGAAGGCCUUAUGGUUGUAAAGCACUUUAAGCGAGGAGGAGGCUCUUUUGGUUAAUACCCAAGAUGAGUGGACGUUACUCGCAGAAUAAGCACCGGCUAACUCUGUGCCAGCCGCCGCAGUAA